CUUUGAGUCGAAAACGAAAGUAAACUCGAAAGGAAAAUGCGAAAGUUUUGAAGACUUAAAACCGGUCUUAAACAUCAUAUUAAGGACUGAAGUCAGUUUGUGAUUAUGGAGAGCAGAGAGAGCAGAGAGAGAUCUUCAUCUGCUGAUCACAGCUGUGUGUCUCUGAAGAGUGACAGAUCUAUGUCUCCUCCUCUUAAAUUCAGUGAUGAUCCAGUGACCUCUGACCCCAGCAGAGCAGAUGGAGAGCGAAGCAUCUCUGGAGGAGCCGCCUCUGUCUUCUGUCUGAACAACACGAGCGUUACAGCGUCUCUGAAUAAACAUGAUCAACCAGUGAAU